GUAGACGACAGCUCAGUGGUUAGAGCACAGGCCUCUGGCUCUCGGGUCCGCGAGCUCGAGUCCCGUCGUCUACU
rnacentral:tRNA from 1 species